AACGGGUGAGUAACACGUGGGUGAUCUGCCCUGCACUUCGGGAUAAGCUUGGGAAACUGGGUCUAAUACCGGAUAGGACCAUGGCAUGCAUGUGCUGUGGUGGAAAGUUUUUUGCGGUGUGGGAUGGGCCCGCGGCCUAUCAGCUUGUUGGUGGGGUGAUGGCCUACCAAGGCGACGACGGGUAGCCGGCCUGAGAGGGUGUCCGGCCACACUGGGACUGAGAUACGGCCCAGACUCCUACGGGAGGCAGCAGUGGGGAAUAUUGCACAAUGGGCGCAAGCCUGAUGCAGCGACGCCGCGUGGGGGAUGACGGCCUUCGGGUUGUAAACCUCUUUCACCAUCGACGAAGGCUUCAUGUUUGUGGGGUUGACGGUAGGUGGAGAAGAAGCACCGGCCAACUACGUGCCAGCAGCCGCGGUAAUACGUAGGGUGCGAGCGUUGUCCGGAAUUACUGGGCGUAAAGAGCUCGUAGGUGGUUUGUCGCGUUGUUCGUGAAAUUCCCUGGCUUAACUGGGGGCGUGCGGGCGAUACGGGCAGACUGGAGUACUGCAGGGGAGACUGGAAUUCCUGGUGUAGCGGUGGAAUGCGCAGAUAUCAGGAGGAACACCGGUGGCGAAGGCGGGUCUCUGGGCAGUAACUGACGCUGAGGAGCGAAAGCGUGGGGAGCGAACAGGAUUAGAUACCCUAGUAGUCCACGCCGUAAACGGUGGGUACUAGGUGUGGGUUUCCUUCCUUGGGAUCCGUGCCGUAGCUAACGCAUUAAGUACCCCGCCUGGGGAGUACGGCCGCAAGGCUAAAACUCAAAGGAAUUGACGGGGGCCCGCAC
rnacentral:rRNA from 1 species